GUGAAUCAUCGAAUCUUUGAACGCACCUUGCACCCUUUGGUAUUCCGAAGGGUACGCCCGUUUGAGUGUCAUUGUAAUCUCAACUCCAUAUUUUUUUGUGUGAGUUGGACUUGGAUCUCGUCGCGCUUGUGGCCGAUCCGAAAUACAUCAGUGUGUAUUCGUCGUGACGAUAAACCGAUUGUUAAGUUUCAUCGGACUUGCUUUGUCAAGGUCGUCUGGCGAAAUUAUAUGCUAAACCCUAUACAUUGACAAUUUGACCUCAAAUCGGGUGGGAUCACCCGCUGAACUUAAGCAUAUCAA
rnacentral:misc_RNA from 1 species